GGGGCUGUAGCUCAGUUUGGGAGAGCGUCUGAAUGGCAUUCAGAAGGUCAGGGGUUCGAGUCCCCUCAGCUCCACCA
rnacentral:tRNA from 1 species